rnacentral:rRNA from 16 species
AGAAACGGCUACCAUUGCCAAGGCGAGCAGCAGGCGCGCAAAUUGUCCACUGCCGACACUGGUCUGGCGAGACAGCGACGAGCCAUAGCAGCCCUGCUCACCCUGUGUGGUGGGUGGGACUCCGCAAUGAAUGCUAUCCAAACGCAGCAAUGAGUAUCAACUGGAGGGCAAGUCUGGUGCCAGCAGCUGCGGUAAUUCCAGCUCCAAGAGCGUAUACAAAUGUUGCUGCUGUUGAAAAGCUCGUAGUCAACCCCUGGGCAUGGGGCUGCAGGGCGUCCGGCCGCUCUGCUGGGGCUGUCUCCCGGCCGUCAGGCCGGGUGGCGGCCUCCGUGGAUGCGCUGCUGGAUUCAAACCCCCUGCAGAUGGUCCCCGUGCCCGCUUUGCAUGGGUUCGGACCGCUCCGGCAAGAAGCCUCCUUCAGUGGUGGCUGAUGCGGUCAUGCCUCUGACAUGGGCGCGGGUCACUUGCGACCCGACCUCGGAGCCGUCCAUGGAUGCCACUGUGAACAACUCAGCGCGUCCAAAGCAAACGUGACUUGAUUGCAUGAUUCAGCGCGGGAUGGCAAAGGAUCGACCAUAUGUGGACACAGCUGUUCUGCUGAGUCUCAGGGUCCGCAAAGGGCAACGCAGUGCUGGUGCCCCCAGAUGGCCGGAGGCUAUCCGCUCCGGCGGUGGCCUUCACCGGGCAGCUGGGCGGUGCUGGCUCUGAACGGCAGUGAUGGGUCUGUUCGUCGUGAUGGAUAUUGACACGCCAGAGGUGAAAUUCUCAGACCGCUGUGGGAUCAACUGCGGCAAAGGCGUUCCACUGGAGCAUGUUCGUCGAUCAAGAACGAGAGUGUGGGGAGCGAAGAUGAUCAGAUACCAUCGUAGUCUACCGCUGUAAACUAUGUCAGCUCGGUGUCGGUGGGCCAUAAUCUCCUCAACAGGAUGCCAUCGGUUUCACUCCUCUGCAGCGAGAAAUCAAAGCUUACGGAUUCAGGGGGGAGUACGGUCUCAAGGCUGAAACUUAAAGGAAUUGAUGGAAUGGCACCACAAGGCGUGGAGUAUGCGGCUUAAUUUGACUCAACACGGGAAAACUUAUCAGGUCCAGACAU